AAACUUUCAACAACGGAUCUCUUGGUUCUGGCAUCGAUGAAGAACGCAGCGAAAUGCGAUAAGUAAUGUGAAUUGCAGAAUUCAGUGAAUCAUCGAAUCUUUGAACGCACAUUGCGCCCUCUGGUAUUCCGGAGGGCAUGCCUGUUCGAGCGU
rnacentral:rRNA from 1 species